AGUUUUACCUUUGAAUCAAAAUCUGAAGGAUCCCUGGAAUUUGAGCAUUAUGAGAAUAUUUUUCAGGGUGUAGUUAUAAGAGAAAGAGGACAUCAUCCUUUCUCAUUUGAUGCCCACAGUUUUUCUCUCCUGGCAGCAGCCAUAGCUCCAGGUGGAAAAGGCAACCUACUCAUUGAGGAAGUUCUAACCUCUACAGUCCGGGCUCCCUGGAAGAGAAAUGGGCAAACAGUUACUUCUGCAUCUUGGUUGGUGUGGGAUCAAAACAGAGUGGAGAAGUAAAUUGACAGGUAAGUAAUCUACUUUGCAGUAUCUUAAAUGCCAGCAUGAGAGAUCUUUGUUCGAACUAUAUUAGCUUCUAAUAUAUAACAGUAUAUACACCAAAUCCUUAUAAAAUAU
rnacentral:lncRNA from 12 species